rnacentral:rRNA from 1 species
GACGGCAGCAUGACCUAGCUUGCUAGGUUGAUGGCGAGUGGCGAACGGGUGAGUAAUGCAUAGGAACGUACCCAUUAGUGGGGGAUAACGCACCGAAAGGUGUGCUAAUACCGCAUACGCCCUGAGGGGGAAAGCGGGGGAUCUUCGGGCCUCGCGCUAUUGGAGCGGCCUAUGUCUGAUUAGCUAGUUGGUGGGGUAAAGGCCUACCAAGGCGACGAUCAGUAGCUGGUCUGAGAGGAUGAUCAGCCACACUGGGACUGAGACACGGCCCAGACUCCUACGGGAGGCAGCAGUGGGGAAUUUUGGACAAUGGGGGCAACCCUGAUCCAGCCAUGCCGCGUGAGUGAAGAAGGCCUUCGGGUUGUAAAGCUCUUUCGGCCGGGAAGAAAUCCUAUUCGAUAAUACCGGGUGGGGAUGACGGUACCGGCAUAAGAAGCACCGGCUAACUACGUGCCAGCAGCCGCGGUAAUACGUAGGGUGCGAGCGUUAAUCGGAAUUACUGGGCGUAAAGCGUGCGCAGGCGGUCUUUUAAGCCAGAUGUGAAAUCCCCGGGCUUAACCUGGGAACUGCGUUUGGAACUGGAAGGCUAGAGUACGGCAGAGGGGGGUGGAAUUCCACGUGUAGCAGUGAAAUGCGUAGAGAUGUGGGAGGAACACCGAUGGCGAAUGCAGCCCCCCUGGGCCUGUACUGACGCUCAUGCACGAAAAGCGUGGGGAGCAAACAGGUGUAGAUACCCCUGAUAGUCUACGCCCUAAACGAUGUCACUGGGUUGUUGGGG